rnacentral:rRNA from 1 species
UUAAACUAAAGAGUUUGAUCCUGGCUCAGAUUGAACGCUGGCGGCAUGCCUUACACAUGCAAGUCGAACGGCAGCACGGAGCUUGCUCUGGUGGCGAGUGGCGAACGGGUGAGUAAAAUAUCGGAACGUACCCAGGAGUGGGGGAUAACGUAGCGAAAGUUACGCUAAUACCG